rnacentral:rRNA from 1 species
UACAGAGGUCCCAAGCGUUGCUCGGAUUCAUUGGGCGUAAAGAGCUCGUAGGCGGUUGGGUAAGUCGGGUGUGAAAACUCAGGGCUCAACUCUGAGACGCCACUCGAUACUGCCCUGACUCGAGUCCGGUAGGGGAGCGUGGAAUUCCCGGUGUAGCGGUGAAAUGCGCAGAUAUCGGGAGGAACACCAGUGGCGAAGGCGGCGCUCUGGGCCGGAACUGACGCUGAGGAGCGAAAGCGUGGGUAGCAAACAGG